UACGUAGGGGGCAAGCGUUGUCCGGAAUUAUUGGGCGUAAAGAGCGCGUAGGCGGUCCGGUAAGUCGGCUGUGAAAGUCAAGGGCUCAACCCUUGAAAGCCGGCCGAUACUGUCGGACUAGAGUCCGGAAGAGGCGAGUGGAAUUCCCGGUGUAGCGGUGAAAUGCGCAGAUAUCGGGAGGAACACCAAUGGCGAAGGCAGCUCGCUGGGACGUUACUGACGCUGAGACGCGAAAGCGUGGGGAGCAAACAGG
rnacentral:rRNA from 1 species